AACGCUAGCUACAGGCUUAACACAUGCAAGUCGAGGGGAAACGACAUUGGAAGCUUGCUUCCGAUGGGCGUCGACCGGCGCACGGGUGAGUAACGCGUAUCCAACCUGCCCACCACUUGGGAAUAACCUUGCGAAAGUAAGACUAAUGCCCAAUGACGUUGAAAGAAGACAUCUGAUUUCAACUAAAGAUUCAUCGGUGAUGGAUGGGGAUGCGUCCGAUUAGCUUGUUGGCGGGGUAACGGCCCACCAAGGCAACGAUCGGUAGGGGUUCUGAGAGGAAGGUCCCCCACAUUGGAACUGAGACACGGUCCAAACUCCUACGGGAGGCAGCAGUGAGGAAUAUUGGUCAAUGGGCGAGAGCCUGAACCAGCCAAGUAGCGUGAAGGAUGACUGCCCUAUGGGUUGUAAACUUCUUUUAUACGGGAAUAAAGUGAGCCACGUGUGGCUUUUUGUAUGUACCGUAUGAAUAAGGAUCGGCUAACUCCGUGCCAGCAGCCGCGGUAAUACGGAGGAUCCGAGCGUUAUCCGGAUUUAUUGGGUUUAAAGGGAGCGUAGGCGGGUUGUUAAGUCAGUUGUGAAAGUUUGCGGCUCAACCGUAAAAUUGCAGUUGAUACUGGCGACCUUGAGUGCAACAGAGGUAGGCGGAAUUCGUGGUGUAGCGGUGAAAUGCUUAGAUAUCACGAAGAACUCCGAUUG
rnacentral:rRNA from 1 species